GACGAACGCUGGCGGCGUGCCUAAUACAUGCAAGUAGAACGCACAGUUUAUACCGUAGCUUGCUACACCAUAGACUGUGAGUUGCGAACGGGUGAGUAACGCGUAGGUAACCUGCCUGGUAGCGGGGGAUAACUAUUGGAAACGAUAGCUAAUACCGCAUAAUAUUAAUUAUUGCAUGAUAAUUAAUUGAAAGGUGCAAUUGCACCACUACCAGAUGGACCUGCGUUGUAUUAGCUAGUAGGUGAGGUAACGGCUCACCUAGGCGACGAUACAUAGCCGACCUGAGAGGGUGAUCGGCCAAACUGGGACUGAGACACGGCCCAGACUCCUACGGGAGGCAGCAGUAGGGAAUCUUCGGCAAUGGACGAAAGUCUGACCGAGCAACGCCGCGUGAGUGAAGAAGGUUUUCGGAUCGUAAAGCUCUGUUGUAAGAGAAGAAAGGGUGUGAGAGUGGAAAGUUCACACUGUGACGGUAUCUUACCAGAAAGGGACGGCUAACUACGUG
rnacentral:rRNA from 1 species